UAGGGAAUCUUCCGCAAUGGACGAAAGUCUGACGGAGCAACGCCGCGUGAGUGAAGAAGGAUUUCGGUUCGUAAAACUCUGUUGUUAGGGAAGAAAAAAUGUAUAGUAACUAUAUACAAAAGAGACGGUACCUAACCAGAAAGCCACGGCUAACUACGUGCCAGCAGCCGCGGUAAUACGUAGGUGGCAAGCGUUGUCCGGAAUUAUUGGGCGUAAGGCGCGCGCAGGUGGUUUAGAAAGUCUGAUGUAAAAGCCCACGGCUCAACCGUGGAGGGUCAUUGGAAACUAAUAAACUGGAGUGCAGGAGAGAAAAGUGGAAUUCCUAGUGUAGCGGUGAAAUGCGUAGAGAUUAGGAGGAACACCGGUGGCGAAGGCGGCUUUUUGGCCUGCAACUGACACUGAGGCGCGAAAGCGUGGGGAGCAAACAGG
rnacentral:rRNA from 1 species